UGGCAGACUGUGGAAAAAAAAAAAGUUAUACUUAGAGAAGAAUUGAACAUGUUUCAUUGCUCAAGCGCUGCUUUACUAUUAAAGCCAAAAAUGAGGAUAUGUAAACAUUUGUAAAGAUGAUUUAAAUCAUCUACACUGUUGAUACAGUUCAAGACUUACAGUAUAACUAUCUUCUUCAACCUCAAAUCUGAUUAUGACUAACUCUUUUAUUGGACUUUGUUCUCAAAAUCCCUAAUUAUAGUCCUAAGCAACAAUCCAAUGUCCUCUAAACAAAAAACAAAGCAACUGUAGUAAUAAAUGACACAUCUAAGAAUUAACAAGGCAUUCACCAACACUGAACUUUUGUUUUGAACAUAAUUAGAUUCAGACAUAAAUCACCACAUAUUAUAGCCUAUGGCCUAAACUUUAGCGUCUGAGUGUCUUUUUUGUUCUUUCCAAUGACUCAGUACCACAGCGGCCUAGAUGUCCGCUAACCCUGAAAAUACAUACGCGUAACAGCUACAACUGGGAGAAAAUGCAUGCGAAUAAAUGAUUCAGAUCGAACAUGUUUUAACAUGCUGUGUUUGCACGCCAGAGUGCCAUUCCAAAUAAUAAUGUCUGAACCAAAGUAGCCUAAAGUCACUGUAUAAUAACUGAUGAUGAAUCAUCGAACAAAUCGCUUUGAAAAAAAUAAUCAUUAUGUGAAGUCUUCAUAUCCUCAUUUGUCUCUCAUUCUCAAUCUCUCUUGCACGCAAGUUGUGAGCGUUUUUGCAAUAAUGAUCACACUGCUAAUUUAGAAACUUUCACUCAGCUGAUGAAGGAAGUAACAUGAACAUGACUCAAGCAUCAUCCCUGAGUGAUUCACGUCUUCUUCUUUUUUUAAUAGUAAAAUUCUACGCAUACACAAUCGUUAUGAAAAUCCACACAAUUCUGCUGCGCAUUGAUUUGGUUCAUGAACGAUUUAUUUCCACACAGAUCUUCUGAAAGGCCGUGGGACGUUAUUGUUCUCUGCUCAUAUAGAAAUCCAUGGGAAAAAGGAGAUCAUGUUACAUGCCGAGUUCUCAUCUAGAUCAUAGAAACAAAGCGUGACCGCGCAGGCGAAAAUGGGCUGGCCACGCCCCCUCAGUGACGCACACGACAUUCCAGUGAUACAUUUUCCCCGUUUCCGGGACGGAAGUGUCGAGUUUUGUUUUGUUUUUUGUUUUGUUUUGUUUUGUUUUGUUUUUCUUUUUAAACAACAUUAACUUUUUUUUUUAAAAAAAACAAAAGUUCAAAGUUGAAAUAAAACAAACAUGGAUUUUUCUCUCUUUGAAAA